GGCAAGGUGGCCGAGUGGUUAUGGCGUUGGUUUUAGGUCCACUAAACCACCAAUGAGAGAUCGCGCGGGUUCGAAUCCCGUCCUUGUCA